UACGAAGGGUGCAAGCGUUAUUCGGAGUUACUGGGCGUAAAGAGUAUGUAGGCGGUUUGUUAAGUUAGUUGUUAAAUACCACGGCUCAACUGUGGAAAGGCAGCUAAAACUGACGAGCUAGAGCGCAGAAGAGAGGAGUGGAAUUCCCGGAGUAGCGGUAAAAUGCGUAGAUCUCGGGAGGAACACCGGUUGCGAAGGCGGCUUCUUGGUCUGUGGCUGACGCUAAAGUACGAAAGCGUGGGGAGCAAACAGG
rnacentral:rRNA from 1 species